ACUGUGAGGGAGGGAACGGCGGCCACAGGCCGCGGCGCGGGCCGAGGAGACCCGGCGACUCGAAGCUGGCGACGACGCGCGGCCCUACCUGGCCAACUCCCGCAGGGCGGGGAUCAUGGACGCCAGCUCCAGCCCGUGGUCGCCCAUGGUGACACCGAGCGGCUCUCAAAACAGCCGCCGCCGGCGCCGGGCUUCUCCACAGCCGCCUCCGGUGGAGAGGGCGGAGCGUCGACGGAGCCCCGCGAGGUCCAAAAUUCUCCUCCCGGAAGCCGCUCUCGGUUGCGGUUGGAACCCUGGGGAAAUCCCAGAGGCGACAGGGGCGGAGCCGACAGCGGACGUGCCCGCCCACUUUCCCUCCCAGGCGAGUGCGUGACCUACUCCACGGGUAUUUUUUGCUCAAACCUGGAUGCUCAGGGAAGCCGUAAGCUAGGAUCUGGGUCGGAGAGGGACCUGACGACCCAACAAAGUUAGAUAUUUCACUAUGUUCGAAUGGCAUAUUUAACUAGGUAAGGCCAUGCAGUAAUCCUUACAUUUGCUGUUUAGGACACAAGGGUAAUUAUUGAUACAACCUCCAAAAAUAAAAUUAAAAAGUGGUGGAAUGGCAGCCAGAUGCGCUCUGACUGCAAAGCUGUACUUUGAACACCCAUCCCUUUGCCCCGUUUCCUUCAGUGAUGCCCUGUGACGAGGAACUUUAAGCUGAAGCAAACCUUUUCCUUCCCAGGUCACUUUCCAUCAUUGUGUUCCAUCACAGCAAUAGAAACCUAACAUAGGACAGGCAACUAUGAAAAAUAGUGUAUCUGCUAAAAAGCAAGAAAAGCUAGCUAUUUUGAAAUCAUGUUGAGAAAGAUGACAAUAAUGACAGAGCUGAGGGCACAGUCCAGUGGAAGAGCACUAACCUAGCUCGUGAGGCUCGGGCACAGAGGACCUAGAGUACUAAACAAACUACAGUUAAACGAUUUUAAAAAAGAAGGCAUAGUUGCACAUGCCUACAAUCCCCUUACUUUGGGUAUAGAGGCAGAAGGAUCAAGAGUUCAAAGCCAUCCUUAGCUCUAUAAUGAGCUCAAGGGCAGUCUGGGAUACAGGGGAACCCUGUCUCAAAAAACAAAACAAAACCAAAAGCCACUACCACCACCACCACCAACAACAACAACCCAGUAUGUAAUUCAUCACUGAGUAGCACUGCAGUUCUGAAGUGCAGGACCCCAAACAGCAGAGCUCUGGCAAAUCUAAUCCAAAAAGCAAUUUUUGAAACAAUUAUUUGUUUUUCACUUUACAUUCCAAUACCACCCCCUCUCCUCCCAGUGCCGUUGGUGGGCCACCAUGGGCAGUCCACAUAUGUCCUAGGCUAUCUGUGAAUAUGAUCCAACACAACUGAGGGACAGCACCAUCACCCAGUGUCGUGCUUGUGGAUCAAGAUGUAAGCACUCAGCUAAUUCACCAGCGCCAUGCCUGCCUGCCUGUCGCUUUGGUCUCUGCCAUAAUAGUCAUGGAUUCCAACCCUCUGAAACUGUAAGCAAACCCCCAAUAAACUGUUAAUCUC
ensembl:antisense 1700065D16Rik RIKEN cDNA 1700065D16 gene